UUUCAUUUAUAACUAAUGCUAGACUAAAGUUUUAUGCAAACGUCGAGAUUUAAACGGGGCAAUGGUGAUAUCUUAGGGAUUAGGUUAAUCAGAACUGCAAGGUAUUGUUAGAUCGAAUGUCUUACUUUAGUUGCUCUGUUUUUCCCUUUUCGUCGCCAGAAGAAGACGAGUCGUUUGUUCUUGAUUCAGAUUUUCUUGUGCCAAUGAAAGGUAACUUUCACCUUCUUCUACAUUGAUAUGUUGCGGUAGUUCUGUUGGACUGUAGUUAUAUUUGGAUAUGCUUUGUCUUGCUACUAGCAUGUUUCUGAAUAUUUAUUUGUGCCUUUUCUUCUCAAAGUUGCUAGCCUACACAAUUUUUAUAUUUACCUUAGUCAAAUAGGUAUCACUUCAAUCAUUUGCUACAGUAGGUUCUUUGUGUGUAUUAGGCAUAUUACAUAUUGGAAUGAUUAUCUAAAAUGGAAUUACCGGCAUUUGAAAUUAGUUUUCACUAUUGUUACUUUUUCCCCUUCCAAGUUGAUUUGUAUUAGUUUAGAUUUGUUUCCUUUAUAUGGAAUUUUACCGGAGGAAAUAAUAACAUUCAUACAACAACUUUAUUGCUUUUUCACCACCUCAAUGUUUCAUUUUUAGGUAUAAUCUUCUGUCUCAUAGUCUUCUUUCUGUAUUUUUGUACAAUAUUUUUGCAACGAUCCUGCACAGUGUUUCAGCAUACUGUUUCUGCAGAAUAAUUAUGAACAAACUAAAGUAUUCUUGUACAAGCUUUUAGAAGAAAAAGGUUGUUGGUUCUGCAUCCAUAUGAAGAAGAGACGCACAUGGACAAAAGUAAUUUGAGAGUGCUGAGUAGAGAAAUAUACUCUACAAGGAAAUUCUAGUAAUGCAAUUGAAAUGGUGCUCCAAAGUAAACUUGAUUUAUUGAAAUUUAGUGAUGGAGAGUUUUGGACAAUUAUGAUGUUUAUGAUACUGUUUAAAUACAUAUAAUUUUGUAAAAGGUCACUGCUAGUAUGCACCUUGAAGCAAUUGGCUUUAUUAGCUUAUGUAAUACAUGAAAUAUUUCUUUUUCGAAGUUGAUAGAAAAUAUGUGCAUUUAAAAUAA